AACGAACGCUGGCGGCAGGCCUAACACAUGCAAGUCGAACGCCCUCUUCGGAGGGAGUGGCAGACGGGUGAGUAACGCGUGGGAACCUUCCCUGUGGUACGGAAUAACUCAGAGAAAUUUGGGCUAAUACCGUAUACGCCCUUCGGGGGAAAGAUUUAUCGCCAUAGGAUGGGCCCGCGUCGGAUUAGCUAGUUGGUGAGGUAAUGGCUCACCAAGGCAACGAUCCGUAGCUGGUCUUAGAGGAUGAUCAGCCACACUGGGACUGAGACACGGCCCAGACUCCUACGGGAGGCAGCAGUGGGGAAUAUUGGACAAUGGGCGCAAGCCUGAUCCAGCCAUGCCGCGUGAGUGACGAAGGCCUUAGGGUUGUAAAGCUCUUUUGGCGGGGACGAUAAUGACGGUACCCGCAGAAUAAGCCCCGGCUAACUUCGUG
rnacentral:rRNA from 1 species